UUACCAUGCAGUCGAGCGGGGGAGAUUGCUUCGGUAAUUGACCUAGCGGCGGACGGGUGAGUAAUACUUAGGAAUCUGCCUAUUAAUGGGGGACAACAUCUCGAAAGGGAUGCUAAUACCGCAUACGCCCUACGGGGGAAAGCAGGGGAUCACUUGUGACCUUGCGUUAAUAGAUGAGCCUAAGUCGGAUUAGCUAGUUGGUGGGGUAAAGGCCUACCAAGGCGACGAUCUGUAGCGGGUCUGAGAGGAUGAUCCGCCACACUGGGACUGAGACACGGCCCAGACUCCUACGGGAGGCAGCAGUGGGGAAUAUUGGACAAUGGGGGGAACCCUGAUCCAGCCAUGCCGCGUGUGUGAAGAAGGCCUUAUGGUUGUAAAGCACUUUAAGCGAGGAGGAGGCUCUCUUGGUUAAUACCCAAGAUGAGUGGACGUUACUCGCAGAAUAAGCACCGGCUAACUCUGUGCCAGCAGCCGCGGUAAUACAGAGGGUGCGAGCGUUAAUCGGAUUUACUGGGCGUAAAGCGUGCGUAGGCGGCUUUUUAAGUCGGAUGUGAAAUCCCCGAGCUUAACUUGGGAAUUGCAUUCGAUACUGGGAAGCUAGAGUAUGGGAGAGGAUGGUAGAAUUCCAGGUGUAGCGGUGAAAUGCGUAGAGAUCUGGAGGAAUACCGAUGGCGAAGGCAGCCAUCUGGCCUAAUACUGACGCUGAGGUACGAAAGCAUGGGGAGCAAACAGGAUUAGAUACCCUGGUAGUCCAUGCCGUAAACGAUGUCUACUAGCCGUUGGGGCCUUUGAGGCUUUAGUGGCGCAGCUAACGCGAUAAGUAGACCGCCUGGGGAGUACGGUCGCAAGACUAAAACUCAAAUGAAUUGACGGGGGCCCGCACAAGCGGUGGAGCAUGUGGUUUAAUUCGAUGCAACGCGAGA
rnacentral:rRNA from 1 species